rnacentral:lncRNA from 1 species
GGGGAACAAUCUAUUGGACGAGAGGACGCUGAGCAGAGUUCUGCGCAUUCUGGUUCAUAGAUCGCCGUGAGGGCGGGUGAUUAGUUGUCUGAGUUUUCAACAAAGUGUAAGAAUCCUUGUACGCCAAUCCUACAUGAUAUAAAUAUUUUUGCACUAUAUAUGUUUGAUAUGCUAUGAUCCAGACAAAGCAAAAUAGUUUUAUAUUAAAUUAUAUUUUGAUCGUGUUAGCUUGUAAUUGGUAUUAUGAUGGAUGCAUGUAUGUGUAUAACCUAUAUCUGCAUAAUUGGAUUUAUGGAUGUGGUGGUAUGGACUAAUCAUGUUAUAUUGAUUGCCCUGUCAUGGGCUGGAAACGUGACCAUAGUUAGUCUCAGUCGGAAAUAAAGUGGAAAAGGGAAUGGAUGUGUGUUUGUGAAUUGAUUAAAUGAAUAGGAACUUUGGGCUUAUCUCGUUAUUAUUGAUUGCCCCAUCACAGGCUGGAAAUGUGAUAUUAUCGAUUGCCCCGUCAUAGGCUGGAAAUGUGAUACUAUCGAUUGCCCCGUCACAGGCUGAAAAUGUGAUACUAUCGAUUGCCCCGUCACGGGCCGAAAACGUGACCGGGAUGUAGCCCAAAAUCGAAAAGAUAAUUGAUCCGGAUCAAGUUAAUAUAGAAUGGAAAGAAAAAGCAUUGAAAAUAUUAAUGAAGAUUUAUGAGCUAUCGUAUGCUAUAUCAUUCUUGCGUGGUUGGACUUUCAUUGAUAUUUGACGUACAUACUUAUAUUGAUUAUUUGAGUCUUUUGAUAGCCGGUUUAUGAUUUCAUGAAAUGUGCAUCGAUUUGUCGUGGCUUUCAAAUUCAUAUUAUUAUUGUGUUGGUAUGGAUGUGUAGGGAUUCUUACUGGGCUGUAAAGCUCACCCCCCCUUCUUUUUUCUUUUUUCAGAGUUGCAGGAUUCAUAGACAUGGAUGGGAUGAGCGCAGAGUACGAGUAUGAGAGUCAUUAGUUACUUAGUCUAUCUUGAUAUCAAUGAAUAUUGAAAGCUUUUGUAAAUGAACUAAUUUGAUUAUCUGGUCAUGUUGGAUUUAUCUAUUUGAUUUAAGUGAUUAACUGUGG